rnacentral:rRNA from 1 species
AGAGUUUGAUCCUGGCUCAGGAUGAACGCUGGCGGCGUGCUUAACACAUGCAAGUCGAACGGAGUACCCCUGAAGGAGUUUUCGGACAACUGAUGGGACUACUUAGUGGCGGACGGGUGAGUAACGCGUGAGUAACCUGCCUUGGAGUGGGGAAUAACAGCUGGAAACAGCUGCUAAUACCGCAUAAUAUGUCUGUGUCGCAUGGCACUGGACAUCAAAGAUUUAUCGCUCUGAGAUGGACUCGCGUCUGAUUAGCUAGUUGGCGGGGUAACGGCCCACCAAGGCGACGAUCAGUAGCCGGACUGAGAGGUUGGCCGGCCACAUUGGGACUGAGACACGGCCCAGACUCCUACGGGAGGCAGCAGUGGGGAAUAUUGGGCAAUGGGCGCAAGCCUGACCCAGCAACGCCGCGUGAAGGAAGAAGGCUUUCGGGUUGUAAACUUCUUUUCUCAGGGACGAAGCAAGUGACGGUACCUGAGGAAUAAGCCACGGCUAACUACGUGCCAGCAGCCGCGGU